UCAUAAUAGUUCCAAGCAAGACACAGCACAUGUGCAGUUUAUUUCCACGAAAAAUAAGUAUUUUUUCUGGUGGGGAAAGUGUAAUAGAUUAAAGGGUGAUAAAUAGAUAGGUUAAGUUUGCACAUUUUAUGUAGUUAGUACUAAAUAAAAUAAUAAUUUGUACAAUUGUAAGUAGUACACUACAAAGAGAAAAAUGUCGGAACGUAAAGUAUUAAAUAAAUAUUAUCCCCCGGAUUUUGAUCCGUCGAAAAUUCCGCGCAUGAAAUUAGCACGGAAUCGACAAUAUACAGUUCGGUUAAUGGCACCUUUUAAUAUGAGAUGUAAAACAUGUGGGGAAUAUAUAUACAAAGGAAAGAAGUUUAACGCGCGGAAAGAGGAUGUCGAAGGCGACGAUUACUUAGGGAUUCGUAUUUAUAGAUUUUAUAUAAAAUGUACACGAUGUCUACAAGAAAUAUCUUUUAAAACCGAUCCAAAAAAUACUGACUAUGAAAUAGAAGCUGGGGCAACGAGGAAUUUUAUGGCUUUGAAACUAGCAGAAGAACAAGCACAAAGAGAAGAAGAUGAGGAAAAAGAAGAAGAAGCUACAAAUCCAAUGAAGCUUUUGGAGAAAAGAACGCAGCAAUCUAAACAAGAGUUGGAAUUAUUAGAAUCUUUGGAAGAGUUAAAGGAUCUUAAUCGUCGUCUAUUGCAGGCAAUUGAUUUUGAAGAAAUGUUAGAACAGUUUAACACGCCUAAACAAAGGCUAGAGAAAGAACAAGAAGAGUUAGAUGAACAAUAUAUUAAGUCAGUAUUUGGCAAUAAAAACCAAAAAAGGAUUGUUGUAGAAGAAGAAAUCGUGGAACUAGAUGAAAAAGAAAGUAGUCCUCCUAAAAAAAUUUUAAAAACAAAAACGAAAGAUAAGGAAAGUGAUAGUUUAGAUUCAAAAGAGCAUUCCUCAGAAUCUAAAGAAACUAUUGAUAUGAAUUUAUCGGGACCGUCUACGAGUACAAAUACUUCUAAAAAUACUGCUAAAAGUUCAAUAUUUUUAAAAGAUACCAAAGCAUCAUUUAAUAAGAAGAACUUAGUUAUUGUUAAAAAGAAAGCAAAUUUAGGUGUAAAAACUAAUUCGGAUACCACUAGUGAGAAAGAAGUUUCAGGAAAGACUGUUAUGUUACCAGAAAUGAACUCAAAGAGUGAUGAAAUUAAAGUUAACAAUGAUUGUGAAAAUACAGUGCCUACUUCCAGUAACAUUGGAAAUGGUCUUUCUUUAUUAACAGAAUAUUCUGACAGUAGUGACAACGACAGUAAUUAAUGCAAGUAAUAUAAAUUAAUUGCAUUUUAAAUUAUGUAUUUAUUUUAUAAGCUUUCCUAAUAUAAAUAUAUUGUACAAAGAUACGUUUGUAUAGGUGUAUAUAGUUAUAAAUGAUUCUGCAGUUAAGAAUUUUAUCUAAUGUAAUUUUUGGAGACACAAUAAAAUUCUCAUAGAGAGCAAGUAAUGGCGACGACAAGAAUGUUUCUUACAGGAUGCCAAACCCUCUACUCCUAAAACACAAAAACAUAAUAAAUCAG